CCUACGGGGGGCUGCAGUGGGGAAUAUUGGACAAUGGGGGCAACCCUGAUCCAGCCAUGCCGCGUGUGUGAAGAAGGCCCUCGGGUUGUAAAGCACUUUCAGUGAGGAAGAACGCCUGGUGGUUAAUACCCAUCAGGAAAGACAUCACUCACAGAAGAAGCACCGGCUAACUCCGUGCCAGCAGCCGCGGUAAUACGGAGGGUGCGAGCGUUAAUCGGAAUUACUGGGCGUAAAGCGCGCGUAGGUGGCUGGAUAAGCCGGUUGUGAAAGCCCCGGGCUCAACCUGGGAACGGCAUCCGGAACUGUCAAGCUAGAGGGCAGGAGAGGAAGGUAGAAUUCCCGGUGUAGCGGUGAAAUGCGUAGAGAUCGGGAGGAAUACCAGUGGCGAAGGCGGCCUUCUGGACUGACACUGACACUGAGGUGCGAAAGCGUGGGUAGCAAACAGGAUUAGAUACCCGAGUAGUC
rnacentral:rRNA from 1 species